GGGCCCGCCCCGCGCAGGGUCCCGCCGCCCGCCGGCUGCGCUGAGCCGGGCGCCCCCAGCGCUGCGGAGGAGGCGGCCCGUGCCCCUUGCCGUGCGCAGCGCCUUGUCCACAGCGCUCUGCUUCUGCCUGUGAAUCGUUUCCGUCCUUCAGAAGAAGCCGGUGGCACUUUGCCGUGCGGUAACGAACUGUUCGUUUGCGGCUGGUGUUUGUACCGGUGGCUGCAGCCCCCGGCUGCGGGGGCUCCUCUGCGGAGGAAGGGGAACUCCCUAAGGGCAGUGCCCACGCCCGGGGACCCUCCUUAAAGCCCCAUGGGGCAGCGACUCCUGGGGGAGGCUGCGGCUCCGCUGAGGAUUCACGGUCCUGAAGUUCACACGUUGCAUCUUUUAAGUGGUAAUGACGGUUUUCUCACGGUUAGGUGGAGCGGGAUGGGUGACCCGUUCGGUGAUAAACUAGAGCUGGUUGAUACGGCGGUGCACUGAAGGUCAAGAAGAAGGUUGCUCAAGGGCAUAGAGUGGUAACCAGUUAGAAUUAGAGGAAGUGGGAACAGAUAAGAGGAAGUUGCUAGGCUCGGACGAGCCUAUAGAGAGGGGCAAGACCUACGCAUGAUCAAAAGGAAUGCACCAAUCGCAAGUCUGUACCUAUGCAUGCUAGCCGCGUGUAGCUGGCUCAGAAGCUAUAGAAUAUCUUGCAUCGGAACAAUAAAGGGUCUCCAUUUCUCGACUUUCUUGGAGUCCGUGUCUCCUUUCCCUUCAAAUGGUGACCGCGACGUGAUUUGCGGAGGAGCAGCGCUGCAAGGAGCGUCCGAAGGGAACCCAGCCGAACGAGGCAAGCUCGCAGCCGGACUGCAGCUUCAACCCCGGGACAUCACCUGGAAGGCAGGACAAGGACCACGAUGGGUGCAGCCUGUGGCAUGCGACCUUGGUUGGGACAACCGCCCUCCUCCACCUCUGCAGUUUUGGUGCCGCAUGGGUCUCAAUCCAGCCCAGAUGAAACAUUUGGGUCACCCUCGCCAACAUGACGGAACAGGACCAUGUGUGUCUCUCUAUGGCCAGCGCGGGCAAUCCAUUCACGACCUGCUUGGUCGGGAUUCCGCUAUCAGAUAACGAACUUACAGCUUCGGUCAACAGUAUGGGAAUAGGGGCAAUCCUUACGGCAGGGUGGAACGCCUCUGAUACAGGAAAUGCCUCUAGGGAGGCAAUGAACAACUGGGAUGGCUGGGCUGCCAACUUACCGAUAGCCCCGUUAGAGCCUCAGGAGCUAGACAUCUUAGGGAGGGUUAAUGCACUUGCCUGCCUAAAAUUCAAUUAUACUGGGAAAAAUAUCACCGCGGUCAAUAUAACGGCUAAUCUAUCUGUAUACCAGAAUGAAUCUGAAUGGUGCAAUUACACCACCCCUAAUAUAUCGAGGUCCUCAAAUGCACCCUUGGCCUUGCCAACCGGAGUGUGCCUUAUUUGCGGGGACCGAGCUUGGCAAGGUAUUCCCUCUCAUAUUGUAGGAGGACCUUGCACCUUGGGACGCUUAACCUUAUUGACACCCAACACGUCUAUGAUCUUGAAUAUCACCAAGAUCCAUGGACGACCAAAAUGAUCAGUUAAUCAUUUCCAGGAAGACUGUAGGAAUAAUUUGGAUUUUUGGGAGGCAGAUAAAGUUAUCGCAGCCUCCAUCCUUGCACCUGGUGUCGCUGUCUCCCAUGCCUUGACAACGCUUAAUAAAUUAGGGUGUUGGCUUGCCAAACAAAACAAUGCCACGUCUGCUGCAUUAAGUGCUUUGCUGGCAGAUACGGAUUCCAUUAUGCACGCCACUCUGCAAAAUAGAGCAGCUAUUGAUUUUCUGCUAUUAGCCCAAGGUCAUGGGUGUGAAGAAUUUGAAGGCAUGUGCUUUAUGAAUCUGAGCAACAAUUCUCAGAUGGUAUUUCUUAAAAAAAUGAAUGAGUUGUCUGAUAAGCUAACGACAAGCUCACUGGGAUUGCAGGCAUGGCUAAAAGGAUUAGGAAUAACUGGGUGGUUGAUGGAGUUGAUAAAAGGGGUGCUUAUUUUGCUUAUUGCAUUUGUUGCAAUUAUAGUAGUUGUACCGUGCCUGUUGCAAUGUUUGCAAAAAAUGAUUAAUCGCUCAAUAUGCACGAUGUGGGUUGUAGAAACAAAAAAAGAGGGAAUUAUGGGUGACCCGUUCGGUGAUAAACUAGAGCUGAUUGAUACGGCGGUGCACUAAAGGUCAAGAAGAAGGUUACUCAAGGGCAUAGAGUGGUAACCAGUUAGAAUUAGAGGAAGUGGGAACAGAUAAGAGGAAGUUGCUAGGCUCGGACGAGCCUAUAGAGAGGGGCAAGACCUACGCAUGAUCAAAAGGAAUGCACCAAUCGCAAGUCUGUACCUAUGCAUGCUAGCCGCGUGUAGCUGGCUCAGAAGCUAUAGAAUACCUUGCAUUGGAACAAUAAAGGGUCUCCAUUUCUCGACU